AUGGCUGAAGCAGCUUACAAUCACUUCUCUGAUGUGCUCGGAAGCGCCACGGAGCAUGACAUCACGCUUGAUCUCCGUGCAUUGCGCGUUCUGCAGUUUGACUUACACGAGCUUGAGUCGCCGUUCUCUAAGGAUGAGAUUUGGAAUGCAAUCAAGAGCGUACCUACCGGCAAGGCGCCCGGCCCCGUCGGAUUCACCUCUGAAUUCCUUGUUGCAUGA
rnacentral:rRNA from 1 species